GCGCGAAAACUUUACAAUGCUGGCAACAGCGAUAAGGGAACCUCGAGUGCCAGGUUACAAAUCUGGCUGUCGAGAUGCCUAAAAAGCAUUUCAUAGCAAGGGCCGGGCAAGACCGGUGCCAGCCGCCGCGGUAACACCGGCGGCUCGAGUGGUAACCGUUAUUAUUGGGUCUAAAGGGUCUGUAGCCGGCCGGAUAAGUCUCUUGAGAAAUCUGGCAGCUUAACUGUCAGGCUUUCAGGAGAUACUGUCUGGCUCGAGGCCGGGAGAGGUGAGAGGUACUUCAGGGGUAGGGGUGAAAUCUUGUAAUCCUUGAAGGACCACCAGUGGCGAAGGCGUCUCACCAGAACGGACCUGACGGCAGGGGACGAAAGCUAGGGGCACGAACCG
rnacentral:rRNA from 1 species